rnacentral:rRNA from 1 species
UACGUAGGGUGCAAGCGUUGUCCGGAAUUAUUGGGCGUAAAGAGCUCGUAGGCGGUUUUGUUGCGUCGGCUGUGAAAUCCCGAGGCUCAACCUCGGGUCUGCAGUCGAUACGAGCAAAACUAGAGUGUUGCAGGGGGAGACUGGAAUUCCUGGUGUAGCGGUGAAAUGCGCAGAUAUCAGGGAGGGAAACACCCGGGUGGGCGAAAGGCGGGGUCUCUGG